GUGUACACAAGAUAGAGCUCACAUCAAGUUUAUAUAAACUUUACAAUUAAAUCCACCUUCAAAAGCUAUUUUCAUAAACUUUAUCCGUUUUAAUCUUUUAAAUGUAACCCACCUCUGUCUUUUAUAUAAGCUGCACCUUUACUUGAAGUCAAUGAAUUUACCAUGAACGAAAGUUUUCUAAAGAAACUGACUGACAACAGCGGUAUACAAACUGAAUACGAAUAAAAGUAGAGUUAAAUCGUGGAUCAUCGUUUAUAGGGCAGGUUCCUCUAAAUGGCUAUCUUGCCGCCAAAUCCGUUAAAUUUCAUUAAUAAUACUAUUCCAAAAUAUUUUAUAUAUAAGUA
rnacentral:rRNA from 1 species